UGGGGAAUUUUGGACAAUGGGGGAAACCCUGAUCCAGCCAUCCCGCGUGUGCGAUGAAGGCCUUCGGGUUGGAAAGCACUUUUGGCAGGAAAGAAACGUCAUGGGUUAAUACCCCGUGAAACUGACGGUACCUGCAGAAUAAGCACCGGCUAACUACGUGCCAGCAGCCGCGGUAAUACGUAGGGUGCAAGCGUUAAUCGGAAUUACUGGGCGUAAAGCGUGCGCAGGCGGUUCGGAAAGAAAGAUGUGAAAUCCCAGAGCUCAACUUUGGAACUGCCUUUUUAACUACCGGGCUGGAGUGUGUCCGAGGGAGGUGGAAUUCCGCGUGUAGCAGUGAAAUGCGUAGAUAUGCGGAGGAACACCGAUGGCGAAGGCAGCCUCCUGGGAUAACACUGACGCUCAUGCACGAAAGCGUGGGGAGCAAACAGG
rnacentral:rRNA from 1 species